GAGAGAGAGAGAGAGAGAGAGAGAGAGAGAGAGAGAUGUAGAUACGAGGAAGGUAGGUGGACCUGUGCAACAUUUUGCGCAUCAACUGAAGUAUACUGGCUAUGCAUGCACAUGUUGAUAUUCUCAAGGGGUAAGCAUCCAGUCGCAGAGGGAAUGUGAUUUUUUAUUAUUUGUCUGUUGUUCCCUUCCUUGUGGUGUCGUCAUUGACUUAGCAUGUAUACGUGUGUUGUUAUUAGGCCCUUUGACACGCAGCGGCUAUUUCUAUGGCCUCUCUUUCAUAGGCACAUACUCUAACGGCCCUUCUCUAUCUCUAUCUCUAUCUCUAUCUCUCUC
rnacentral:miRNA from 1 species